GUGGAUGAGUGGCGAACGGGUGAGUAAUACGUGAGUAACCUGCCCUUGACUCUGGGAUAAGCCCGGGAAACUGGGUCUAAUACUGGAUGCUACAUGUCACCGCAUGGUGGUGUGUGGAAAGGGUUUACUGGUCUUGGAUGGGCUCACGGCCUAUCAGCUUGUUGGUGAGGUAAUGGCUCACCAAGGCGACGACGGGUAGCCGGCCUGAGAGGGUGACCGGCCACACUGGGACUGAGACACGGCCCAGACUCCUACGGGAGGCAGCAGUGGGGAAUAUUGCACAAUGGGCGAAAGCCUGAUGCAGCGACGCCGCGUGAGGGAUGACGGCCUUCGGGUUGUAAACCUCUUUCAGCAGGGAAGAAGCCACAAGUGACGGUACCUGCAUCGCCGGCUAACUACGUGCCAGCAGCCGCGGUAAUACGUAGGCAGGCGUUGUCCGUUAUUGGGCGUAAAGAGCUCGUA
rnacentral:rRNA from 1 species